rnacentral:rRNA from 1 species
UACGUAGGGUCCGAGCGUUGUCCGGAUUUAUUGGGCGUAAAGAGCGUGUAGGCGGCUUGGUAGGUCCGCUGUGAAAACUCGAGGCUCAACCUCGAGAUGUCGGCGGAAACCACUUGGCUAGAGUCCGGAAGAGGAGAGUGGAAUUCCCGGUGUAGCGGUGAAAUGCGCAGAUAUCGGGAAGAACACCUAUGGCGAAGGCAGCUCUCUGGGACGGUACUGACGCUGAGACGCGAAAGCGUGGGGAGCGAACAGG